rnacentral:rRNA from 1 species
CUUUACUGUAAUUUUAAUGGUGCUCUAAGUAUAGCAGUAUGACAUCUGAUCUUGGAAGCUAAGUAGGGUCAGACCUGGUUAGUACUUGGAUGAGAGAUCACUUAGGAAGACCAGGUGCUGUAGGCA